rnacentral:rRNA from 1 species
GAACGCUGGCGGCGUGCCUAAUACAUGCAAGUCGAGCGAACAGACGAGGAGCUUGCUCCUCUGACGUUAGCGGCGGACGGGUGAGUAACACGUGGAUAACCUACCUAUAAGACUGGGAUAACUUCGGGAAACCGGAGCUGAUACCGGAUAAUAUAUUGAACCGCAUGGUUCAAUAGUGAAAGACGGUUUUGCUGUCACUUAUAGAUGGAUCCGCGCCGCAUUAGCUAGUUGGUAAGGUAACGGCUUACCAAGGCAACGAUGCGUAGCCGACCUGAGAGGGUGAUCGGCCACACUGGAACUGAGACACGGUCCAGACUCCUACGGGAGGCAGCAGUAGGGAAUCUUCCGCAAUGGGCGAAAGCCUGACGGAGCAACGCCGCGUGAGUGAUGAAGGUCUUCGGAUCGUAAAACUCUGUUAUUAGGGAAGAACAAAUGUGUAAGUAACUAUGCACGUCUUGACGGUACCUAAUCAGAAAGCCACGGCUAACUACGUG